rnacentral:rRNA from 1 species
GGAAAAUAUUCUUUAGGAAAAGGCAAUCACUCAACCAAGUAUUUUAUACUACGUACAAUAUAACCAGCUGGAUAAUUGGAGCAGUCUCAGCCACUAAUUAGUGCUACUAAUUAUCAACACUGCCCACCAGACUUCUGCUAUUAGCAUAGUAGCAACCACUGUAGCUCACAAAACAGUCUACAGAUUCAUCGAACGCCGAAGGAAGUUAGUUUUUACCUGAGCAGAAAAGGUGGCCGUAAUGGUGAUGUACGCCAUCUUGAUGUGCGCCUAUACGACCUCCUGCGACAUCACGGCGAAGCGGCGCUUCACCCAGCCGGUCGGACGCCCUGCAGUUCCCCGCCUUCUCCCAGGGAUCUGCUGGAGGGGAACGACGGCACGCGAAAGCAGCUGCUAUAGCCUUGGCCGGGGCUUGGGCGCGUUGGACUCUGCUAGCGCUGGUCGCGGCUGCUCCCUCACAUCGCUGGCCACCCCUCACGGCGGACCUCACCUUGUGGAAUCCUCUCUCAUGGAGCUCACUUCAGUGAAAUAAUGGAACCUAGAAGUGUCCGCCGGAUGAGGCAAGAGAAAGCAAUUCUUUAGUAUUAAA